AUGUAUUGCCAGGACUCCGGUACCAAUCAACACCUCCCAAGAAGGGACGCGAUGAUGACAAGGAUGUUGCCAAGGGUUUCCCCAGGUACGUGGCGAGGAGAAAGGAAGGGUAGCACCCGACACCCUCCAGGAAGGUCUGGUGGUACCCUCAGGCGCCAACGCGUCGGUGUUGGACAGGCUAGUAGGGAUUUCUCCCGAUCCCAACCAUCACCCCGAGCGCUCCAGAGCACUCCACAAAUACCGCCCACCACCCUGCGCCAACACGGUCUUGAAGUCACACAUGCUGUCUCACCACGGCACCGAGAAGUGGAGCAUGCACAACGAAGAAGAAGAGUCAGGACUAGGGGCAGCACCGUCGACGUUGCGGGAGGGCAUGACCUCCACCGUCAACGAUGGUAA
rnacentral:rRNA from 1 species